rnacentral:rRNA from 1 species
ACUCAAAGGAAUUGACGGGGGCUCACACAAGCGGUGGAGCAUGUGGCUCAAUUCGAAGCAACGCGAAGAACCUUAUCCUGGGCUUGACAUGUAUGGAUUAGCCCCUGGAAACAGGGGUGAGGCCCUCACGGGUACAACAUACACAGGUGCUGCAUGGCUGUCGUCAGCUCGUGCUGUGAAGUGUCGGGUUAAGUCCCUUAACGAGCGAAACCCCUAUCGUUAGUUGCUACCGGGUAAUGCCGAGGACUCUAACGAGACUGCCGGUGUCAAACCGGAGGAAGGUGGGGAUGACGUCAAGUCCUCAUGGCCCUUAUGCCCAGGGCUGCACACGUGCUACAAUGGCGCGAACAAAGCGACGCGAGACCGCAAGGUGGAGCAAAUCGCAUAAAGCGCGCCCCAGUUCAGAUUGAGGUCUGCAACCCGACCUCAUGAAGUUGGAAUCGCUAGUAAUCGCGGAUCAGCUACGCCGCGGUGAAUAUGUUCCUGAGCCUUGUACACACCGCCCGU